ACGAACGUUGGCGGCGUGCCUAAUACAUGCAAGUCGAGCGAGAAACGGGGGGCAACUCCCGGAGUAAAGCGGCGAAAGGGUGCGUAAUACAUGAAGAACGUACCCCUCGGACUGGGAUAACCCAGGGAAACUUGGGCUAAUACCGGGUGACGUCCGGGCGGGGCAUCCCGUCCGGACCAAAGAUGGCCGAAAGGUCGUCGCCGGGGGCGCGCUUCAUGGCCUAUCAGCUAGUUGGCGGGGUAACGGCCCACCAAGGCUGUGACGGGUAGCCGGGCUGAGAGGUCGACCGGCCACAUGGGCACUGAGACACGGGCCCAACACCUACGGGUGGCAGCAGUAGGGAAUCUUGCGCAAUGGGCGAAAGCCUGACGCAGCGACGCCGCGUGGAGGACGAAGGCCUUCGGGUUGUAAACUCC
rnacentral:rRNA from 1 species